rnacentral:sRNA from 1 species
UAAGUAAUGGAGUUUUCGACGUCGCUUA